GGUUAAGCGACUAAGCGUACACGGUGGAUGCCCUGGCAGUCAGAGGCGAUGAAGGACGUGCUAAUCUGCGAAAAGCGUCGGUAAGGUGAUAUGAACCGUUAUAACCGGCGAUGUCCGAAUGGGGAAACCCAGUGCAAUUCGUUGCACUAUCGUUAACUGAAUACAUAGGUUAACGAGGCGAACCGGGGGAACUGAAACAUCUAAGUACCCCGAGGAAAAGAAAUCAACCGAGAUUCCCCCAGUAGCGGCGAGCGAACGGGGAGCAGCCCAGAGUCUGAAUCAGCUUGUGUGUUAGUGGAACGGUCUGGAAAGUCCGACGGUACAGGGUGAUAGUCCCGUACACCAAAAUGCACAGGCUGUGAACUCGAAGAGUAGGGCGGGACACGUGGUAUCCUGUCUGAAUAUGGGGGGACCAUCCUCCAAGGCUAAAUACUCCUGACUGACCGAUAGUGAACCAGUACCGUGAGGGAAAGGCGAAAAGAACCCCGGCGAGGGGAGUGAAAAAGAACCUGAAACCGUGUACGUACAAGCAGUGGGAGCACCUUCGGGUGUGACUGCGUACCUUUUGUAUAAUGGGUCAGCGACUUAUAUUCUGUAGCAAGGUUAACCGUAUAGGGGAGCCGCAGGGAAACCGAGUCUUAACUGGGCGUUAAGUUGCAGGGUAUAGACCCGAAACCCGGUGAUCUAGCCAUGGGCAGGUUGAAGGUUGGGUAACACUAACUGGAGGACCGAACCGACUAAUGUUGAAAAAUUAGCGGAUGACUUGUGGCUGGGGGUGAAAGGCCAAUCAAACCGGGAGAUAGCUGGUUCUCCCCGAAAGCUAUUUAGGUAGCGCCUCGUGAACUCAUCUUCGGGGGUAGAGCACUGUUUCGGCUAGGGGGUCAUCCCGACUUACCAACCCGAUGCAAACUACGAAUACCGAAGAAUGUUAUCACGGGAGACACACGGCGGGUGCUAACGUCCGUCGUGAAGAGGGAAACAACCCAGACCGCCAGCUAAGGUCCCAAAGUCAUGGUUAAGUGGGAAACGAUGUGGGAAGGCACAGACAGCCAGGAUGUUGGCUUAGAAGCAGCCAUCAUUUAAAGAAAGCGUAAUAGCUCACUGGUCGAGUCGGCCUGCGCGGAAGAUGUAACGGGGCUAAACCAUGCACCGAAGCUGCGGCAGCGACACUAUGUGUUGUUGGGUAGGGGAGCGUUCUGUAAGCCUGCGAAGGUGUGCUGUGAGGCAUGCUGGAGGUAUCAGAAGUGCGAAUGCUGACAUAAGUAACGAUAAAGCGGGUGAAAAGCCCGCUCGCCGGAAGACCAAGGGUUCCUGUCCAACGUUAAUCGGGGCAGGGUGAGUCGACCCCUAAGGCGAGGCCGAAAGGCGUAGUCGAUGGGAAACAGGUUAAUAUUCCUGUACUUGGUGUUACUGCGAAGGGGGGACGGAGAAGGCUAUGUUAGCCGGGCGACGGUUGUCCCGGUUUAAGCAUGUAGGCUGGUUAUCCAGGCAAAUCCGGAUAAUCAAGGCUGAGGUGUGAUGACGAGGUACUACGGUGCUGAAGUAACAAAUGCCCUGCUUCCAGGAAAAGCCUCUAAGCAUCAGGUAACAUCAAAUCGUACCCCAAACCGACACAGGUGGUCAGGUAGAGAAUACCAAGGCGCUUGAGAGAACUCGGGUGAAGGAACUAGGCAAAAUGGUGCCGUAACUUCGGGAGAAGGCACGCUGGUGUGUAGGUGAAGUCCCUGCGGAUGGAGCUGAGACCAGUCGAAGAUACCAGCUGGCUGCAACUGUUUAUUAAAAACACAGCACUGUGCAAACACGAAAGUGGACGUAUACGGUGUGACGCCUGCCCGGUGCCGGAAGGUUAAUUGAUGGGGUUAUCCGUAAGGAGAAGCUCUUGAUCGAAGCCCCGGUAAACGGCGGCCGUAACUAUAACGGUCCUAAGGUAGCGAAAUUCCUUGUCGGGUAAGUUCCGACCUGCACGAAUGGCGUAAUGAUGGCCAGGCUGUCUCCACCCGAGACUCAGUGAAAUUGAACUCGCUGUGAAGAUGCAGUGUACCCGCGGCAAGACGGAAAGACCCCGUGAACCUUUACUAUAGCUUGACACUGAACAUUGAGCCUUGAUGUGUAGGAUAGGUGGGAGGCUUUGAAGCGUGGACGCCAGUCUGCGUGGAGCCAACCUUGAAAUACCACCCUUUAAUGUUUGAUGUUCUAACGUUGGCCCCUUACCGGGGUUGCGGACAGUGUCUGGUGGGUAGUUUGACUGGGGCGGUCUCCUCCCAAAGCGUAACGGAGGAGCACGAAGGUUAGCUAAUCCUGGUCGGACAUCAGGAGGUUAGUGCAAUGGCAUAAGCUAGCUUGACUGCGAGCGUGACGGCGCGAGCAGGUGCGAAAGCAGGUCAUAGUGAUCCGGUGGUUCUGAAUGGAAGGGCCAUCGCUCAACGGAUAAAAGGUACUCCGGGGAUAACAGGCUGAUACCGCCCAAGAGUUCAUAUCGACGGCGGUGUUUGGCACCUCGAUGUCGGCUCAUCACAUCCUGGGGCUGAAGUAGGUCCCAAGGGUAUGGCUGUUCGCCAUUUAAAGUGGUACGCGAGCUGGGUUUAGAACGUCGUGAGACAGUUCGGUCCCUAUCUGCCGUGGGCGCUGGAGAAUUGAGGGGGGCUGCUCCUAGUACGAGAGGACCGGAGUGGACGCAUCACUGGUGUUCGGGUUGUCAUGCCAAUGGCACUGCCCGGUAGCUAAAUGCGGAAGAGAUAAGUGCUGAAAGCAUCUAAGCACGAAACUUGCCCCGAGAUGAGUUCUCCCUGAGACUUUAAGUCUCCUGAAGGAACGUUGAAGACGACGACGUUGAUAGGCCGGGUGUGUAAGCGCAGCGAUGCGUUGAGCUAACCGGUACUAAUGAACCGUGAGGCUUAACCUU
rnacentral:rRNA from 1 species